rfam:Brachypodium distachyon strain Bd21 chromosome 3, whole genome shotgun sequence.
AUAUUAUUCCCUCGUCCAACAAAGUAUGUCUUAACUUUGACCAAAUCUGAAUGCAUCUAUACACUAAGACACUAAGUCAUGUCUAGAUACAUCCAAAUUUUGACAAACUUGAGUCAUCUUUUGUUGGACGGAGGGAGUAUAUA